rnacentral:rRNA from 1 species
GUCUACAGCCAUGCCACCCUGGACAAGCCUGAUGUCUGAUCUCAGAAGCUAAGCAGGGUUGGGCCUGGUUAGUACUUGGAUUGGAGACCACCUAGGAAGACCAGGUGCUGUAAGCA